CGCGUAGGCGGGACUGUAAGUCCGGCGUGAAAUCUAGGGGCUCAACCCCUAAACUGCGUUGGAAACUAUAGUUCUUGAGUGAUGGAGAGGCAGGCGGAAUUCCCUGUGUAGCGGUGAAAUGCGUAGAUAUAGGGAGGAACACCAGUGGCGAAGGCGGCCUGCUGGACAUUAACUGACGCUGAGGCGCGAAAGCGUGGGGAGCAAACAGGAUUAGAUACCCUGGUAGUCCACGCCGUAAACGAUGGAUACUAGGUGUGGGGGGACUGACCCCUUCCGUGCCGGAGUUAACACAAUAAGUAUCCCACCUGGGGAGUACGUUCGCAAGAAUGAA
rnacentral:rRNA from 1 species